ACAAUGAAAAUGGGUGUUUGACAUCUUCCCAGAAGCGGCACAAAAAGACAGCAAAAUCAGGCUGGUAAAAUGCUGAAUAAACAAAUGAAAGCGUUUGGUCUGAAUGUGAAUGACUCGAAGGGAGAAGGGGCCCGAGGAGACCUCCUCCGGGGAACGAUGGACAUCUCAGAAUUGAAGUUAAGGCUAUAGGUGGGAGGCGGGCGCCACCGUGCACAGGGGUGAGGGAGUUGUCUUAGCAAAAUCUGUCAUGCGGGCCUCUGGGGACUGUCAGGAGAGGAUCUGUGUCACCUGCCGAUUCUACCUCACUUCAGUCCAUGCCAGGUGGCGAGAGCGCAGGUGUGAGAAGAUAGGCCGGCCAAAGAAACCAGGAGGUUGCGGGGAGCCCGAGCCACAGGUGGGGGCCACUGUUAAGGCCAGGGAGGUUCCUCCUACCGCCAGCUUCCUGCGGCGACCCCCCAGUCCAGGUGGACCGGCCAACCACUAGCCACACAGGCUCGAGGCACGGGCCACGCCGUGUGCGGGGAACUGAACCACAGGCGGCUAACGCUAGCGCACAGCCCCAAGUCGACCAAUUGCCAGUGCGUGGGGCACUCACUACGGAGCCCAAGGCUCUGCCACAUUCAGCCACUGUCCUGGGCCCCUGGCCCUCGGUGGCAGCGUUUGUGAGGGUUCUCCAAACCAGCGAGCCCUCUCGAAAGAGUUUUGUUUAAAUAUGAAAGAGACUUAGUCCCAAGACAGUGGACACCGACGCUGCACAUGGAUGUAAUUCCCUCGUCUUCCAUUAAGCUCCAGAGGCCCUGUCGUUCUGCCUACUUCUGAAUUUUCACUUUUAUUCACUGUAAGUCUAAUCUAAAGUGUACCGUAUGCUUUUUUGCAGCCAAAGUUAUUAAUAUUUGCAGUUAGGGUUGUGGAGAAUGUGAAUCAAAAUAAUAAACAAGAAGAGAAAUAUUUUCGUGAAUUUGGGAGUUUGUACUGCUUGGGGUCGUGAACUCUGUUACUGCUACUUGACAAUCCAGAAGGCUCCUUGUGCACACAGGAUUCAGGCUGCUUCCCCAACAGUCCCCAGGGAUGUGUGUGGCUGCGGUCUACACCCAGAGAAGCUGACUGGUCCCAGAUCUCAGGUCAGUAAGUUGCAAGAACCCAGGAAAAAACUAUGAUCAGCCAUGCUUCUGCAAAGGAACAGAUCUCCAGAUUCCCACUUCUAUGGUUAGGAUGCACUCUAAAUUCAAAAUUACCUAACAGAAUGGAGGAUGUGAAAGGUAAAGAUGAACUAAAACACCACUCUUUAGAAUCGGAAUCUUGGGGGAAAUCCCACAACUAGACAUACUUGAACUUGUCCCUUUUUGUUGGUUGGUUUCAAAUGUUUAAAAUCUUCUUGAAGUUUGACUUGAUAGCAAUUUCAGCCUGGUCUGACCUCCAAUACCUGUUGGGUGACAUCGUGUGGCACCGCCUGGCAUUUUUACACAAGGAGAGCCUUCGGAAAUCUAAAGAUUUUAGAAGCAGCAGCUCCUUCUUAAGGCUGGUAGAUAAAUUAGUUGAGACUUUGCCGCAUCGUAGGGGAGCUUAUGACUCUGCCUUAGGCUUGCGGGAGGGAAUGAACAUGCCCGGCAACUUGACCAGGAAGGAAUCCUCCUCCCCCCUCACAGACAGGCAGUGAGUAUCGACCUCUGCGCCAAAUCUGCUCUACUUCCGUGCACCCAGGGAAAAUUUGCAGUCUGCAGGGCUGCUAGGCGGGUACAAGGAUGUUCGCAUACGAACAGGCAAGACCUCAUGUCCCGCGGGGGGUCUGGGGACUCUGCGAGAGCUUUAGCAGUUCUGCAGCACCAGCCUAGACUGGUUCAGAAACUGAUAUGGUUUAGAGCUCUGGUUAUAUGGAGGUAACAUACAACUCCCUCUUGUUCCUACCAACUCCUUCAGCUGCCACACAUCUUCCCAGUUCUCACAUAGGUUCAAUGCCAUCUCUCCCUUUCCACCUGCUGAACUUGGCUGUGACCAUGUGGCCUCAGCUGCUGCGGAUCCCCUGGGCGUGCCAGGGGUAGCAACUCAGUGGGCAGGGGGCCUGUCCGCAGCUCUGGCGGCUCCCCGCAGGCCCCACUCAUGCCGGCGGUUGCAGGUACUGGGUGCUCUUGGCAUUCUCAAGAGCGCAGGAAGAGUCAAUUUUAGGUGUUUUGGGCCACUAAGUAUCCGCGGCAAGCCGAAGACCCCGCUCUGGGAGCAAGAGAAGCCGAAGCUGCAGACAGGGUCAGCGGGAUCCCAGCAGAAGAGGGUGAUGCUGAAGCCUUCCCGGGGCGCGGACCGAGUGCUAGGGCGAGGUAGUCAGCGACCCGCUGAGACCGACCGAGAGACGACGGAUCUGAGGCAGAGAAAGAGGAUGAAGGAAGGAAAAGAGAGAACACUAAGGUCUGGUCAGUCCCGAUGAAUGUAAGGAUGCAGGACCUAGAACAAGAACAAGGGUCAGCUGGAGUCUGCCGCCUGGUUACACUGCUCACUCUGGACUCAGAAGAUCUCAAAGAGAUCGGAAGAAUUUCGACUAAAAGGAGAAAUUUAAGACCAAAACCAAAACACCAGUAAGGCCUGCAGCUGGCUCAGGCCAGGGAGAAGCCAAAAAGCCUUUCCCUAGCCGCGUCGAGGCCUCCUCCGAGGGGCGACUCGCUCUCUGGAUAAAUAUUUACUCAGUGGGAGACUGGAAGCCGGGCCGAGAGUGUGAAGGAGGGGGCUACACUGGGUGGGAGGAACCAGUACACUCGGCGCUGGCCGGAUCCUUGUGUACACCCGCCCAAGGGGAGCAGGGGCCGGGGACUCUGGGGGCGACUCGGCCCAGGCGUGUGGCUGGGGAAGCUUUAGACCCCAGCAUCGGAUCGACCGGACUCCGCCCUGCCCUCGCGGACCCCAGCCAGAUGCUGUGAAGUCUCCAUAAAUCUGUCAGCCGUCCCAGUGCCGCGGGCAGUCACCUGCGGCGCCCCCUUCCCGGCGCUAGAGCGGCCCGCGGAGAGACGCGGAGAAGCAACGGGAAUCUAGCCCGGCAGACUGUACCCGAGGGCUGCCGAAGUCAGACCCAAGCACUACAGGUUGUGCGGAACGCGAGGACCCCUCCCUGUAUCCCCAACCUGGACCGACCCCCGGAAGCCUGCUCCUCCGGGUCUACAGGAGCAGCUCACGCUGGAGCCCCCAAAGAAGCCCCCAUACCUCAGGUGUCUACACUGAAAGUGGACACUCUUCUACCCACCUCCACACUUUAGAAGACAGAAUGCCGCCCAAGGCCGGACCCAGAACCCGCAGCAAAGAGGAUCUGCAACCUUGUCCUCCUCACUGCUGGCCAAGAGUCCACGCCGCGGAGGUCGCAGCUGACUAGGUGAGGGCGGGAGACUGCCUGCUCGUCUCCUCCUGGCCCCGGCUAUCCAGGGCGUCGAGGUGAGGUCCGCAGCCACUCGGGCGGUGCACAACAUGUUCCAGGAGUCCCGCGGCCGAGCGGCGCACAGAGGAGCAAGGAGAGGACCGGAAGAACCGUGCUCUUGGCUGCAAUUUGUUUCCAAGAGUGCCAAGACAUGCCCGAGACUCUCAGCGCGCUCUCAGAGCAUCAACUCAAGCACCGAAAAAAUCUACCUUUGCCUUCCCGGGGAUUCAUUCUGGGGUAUGCCUGUGUGUGUUUCUUUUUAAGACCACUAUAGUGGGAACAAACCAGGAGGUGCCGAGUUGCAAUAAAAUUAGAACCCAUAAUUAACACAGCUAGCUGGGCCCAAGUGGCUCGGAAGUGCACGUAGUGGAGUCAGUUGGCCUUCCUCCGCGGAGUCCGGGCUACAGUUGCGUUUUCUUUCUUUGGAAUGCAUCUUGGAGUCAGGAUCAACUCCUUUCAUUCCCUGCAAACAGCGAAUAAAUAAAUCAUUUCAUUUAUAAAAAACGAUAACGAUAAAGAGAUUUCAGCGCACCCUGCGAGAGGUGGUAGUCAGGAGAAGAGAAAGCCCAAAGGUUGUUAGGUGCAGGGGUCACUUUUACUGCCUUGGGAAAAUGCAUUUUAGCCGCGGAAUUCGUUCCGUGGGGAUUGGGGGUGCGCCUCCGAGGCGGGCCCGAGGGCCAGAACUGCGAAAUCCCAAGUUAGUGUUUUCAGGUUUCGGACAAAAACUGCGAUCCAUACGAGGACCUUACUGUUCGCAUCUUGGCGGGGAUCACGAAAGCUCUACAGGCCAGCAGGAACCUUGCGGCUAGCGGGGGCAUUCCUGCAACCUCCUGCGCAGGGAUCCUACGCCUCAGGUCUUCUUACUGGCUGGGGUUGGCCCUCCCGGGAACUGGGCAGGCUCUAAUAGGCCCCUCUACCUGCAGGCUGUUUGCUCCAAGAGGCGGAUUUGUGGGGUCCAGGGCGAACCCUUUCCUCUUCCCUUUGCCAGUCAGUGCUCCUCCUGCCUAAAAAUUUUACCCUCACCAGGACCAACGAAAGAGCUGACCUCUUACCUCCUCCACAGCGGCUGUGGCUUUCUAGACAAGCUGCGUGUCUGAGCCACUGGGAGAACAGAGUAUAACCACCUCUCCAUGGACACGAUUGGAAGGCAGUUCUAGGAAAAUUGUUAAAGGACCCAACAAUGUUUUCAAUGGACACACAGAGGCUAAGGAAGAGAAAUGUAAAAAUGAAAUAAAUAUAAUUUCAAAAGUGUUUAACUCUUUAAUAAGCCAGGAGGGGUAAAACACAGUACCAUCUUUGCAGAGUAAACCAAUUUUGCCAGCAGGUACAAACUGUUGUGUUUUUUUCUAACGAGAGAGGGGGGGAAAAGGCUGCUUGCAUAUGAUUCACAUUUUUCAUCAAUAAAAUGUUUUUAAAUUAA
rnacentral:lncRNA from 1 species